GCUCGUCACUCAUUAAUAUCUGUUUCAUACAUCAAUAUCAAACUUGCAGCAACCAUUUGACAUAUUUGCACAACCAUGUAAGCAAGUCAUUUACAUUACAUUUUGAUCAAUAUUUGCUGUUAUUGCUGCAAUGAAUCUUAGAUGGGGCAAAAGCACAAUUGGAACAGAUGAAGGGUGAAAGGAAAUCAACUGGAAGGUGGGGAAGAUUCAUAGUGUGAAGUGAAGUGUACAAAUAUUAUAUUUAUCAUAUGUCACUCUUUCUUACCAGUAAUUAAUACAUUAUUAUUGAUUGGUGGUAUUAGUAUAUAGUCUGCUCAACUUCUGUAAUUAAAGAGUGUCUUUCUAGCUACACAAGAUUCUUGUAGUUCGCUAGUACAAAGAGGGUCUUAACUUAUCUUCAGUAUUUCUCCAAAUACUUGUGCUCUUCAACUUCUCAAAGAUUAAUUUAAUGGAGAAGAGAUGCAGUAAUAAAAUGGAGGAAUGUCUUCACCGUGCAAGCUUAAUAAGUGUUGUAUUCUCUUGGACUCUAGAUGAUCUUCUCAACGAAACUCUUUUCAAAUACCAGGUACCGAAGAUUCCGAAGACAUUCUUGUCAACAAAUGAUUACACGAAUUCAUUCUUUCCUGCAUUGAUUGAGGAAACACAUAGUGAUCUAUAUUCAAGCUUGAUGAGUGUGCCUAAAGCUUCUUUUUGUGAAAUCAGAACAAUGGAAAUAUCGAAGGUCUUCAAUCCUCCGUACGACUUGUUCUAUAAAAUUACAUUGAAGAACAUUACUGAUGAAGUCUACGGAGUAGGAAAGUAUGAACCUGAGGUUGGUGAUCUCAUUGCAUUCACAAAUAUUCGACCAAGAAGUGUGGAUGACUUGAGUCGGAUCAAAAGAUACUGUCAUAUAGCUUAUAUUCAUGGAUCAAAAGAUGAAUUUACUGAUGAGAUUCCUAUACUGUUGUCAUAUGAGUUUGACUUGAAGAGGAACAAAGCACAGAAACUCUAUGCAGUUUGUCUCAUUAACAUGACUACUAAUGUUCGUAUUUGGAAAGCCUUGAACUCAGAGAUGGAGGGAUCGGACAUGAAUAUAAUUCAAAAAGUGUUGCAGCCUUAUUCAAGGAUGGAACAAAACUGUCAGACUUGCUUGUCAGGAGUAAAUCUCGGUCGAUCCAAUUCCCGAGUCAAAACUAUAAUCAAAGCUCAAAAUCUAAACGAGUCUCAGAAAGAUGCUAUUCUAAGUUGUCUUCAUAUGAAGAAGUGUCAUCACAAUGAUCCUAUUAAACUCAUAUGGGGUCCACCAGGAACUGGCAAAACAAAAACAGUUGCAUCCAUGCUAUUUUGUCUCCUCAAGUUAAGAAUCAGAACACUAACAUGUGCUCCAACAAACACUGCAGUGUUGGCAGUGGUGUCGCGCCUUCACAGCAUAGCUAAGGAUUCACUUGAGCAUGGUUCAUAUGGUCUUGGUGACAUACUACUAUUUGGAAAUAGUAAGAGAAUGAAAAUAGAAUCUUAUAAGGGUCUUGGUGAAGUGUUUUUGGAUAAUAGAGUUGAUGAUUUGUUGUACUGUUUUUCUCCAAUGACAGGAUGGAAAAAUUGUUUAGAAUCAAUGAUAAGUUUACUAAAGGAUCCUGAAGAGCAAUACGCUUUGUAUUUAAACAGUAAACAUAAUGAAAAUGUUAUGUCAUUGGAAGAAUUUGCCGUUGGAAAUUAUAGUCAUGUAAAACCUGCAUAUUUAUCAUACAAGAAACGUUGCAAGUAUCAUUGUCUUUUGACAUUGGAGGAGUUUGUGAAGAAGAAAUAUGGUUACAUUGUAGAGCAAUAUGAUAUAUACCAAGAUGAUAAAAAGGUAAGUGUUGGUAUGAGUAUGGAACAGUUUUUCAAACAAAAAUUCUGUUGCUUUGGAGGGAAGUUGAAGUCAUUAAUGAAAACUUUGUGUACUCACUUGCCAACAAGUUUCGUUUCACUUAAGGUGGCGAUGAAAAUUUUCAGAGUUCUUGAGUUGCUAAAAUCUCUUGAAGUUUCAUUGAGUCAAAGCAAACAAAAACAAUCUUUAAAUGAUCAUUUUGGAGUUGGACAGAGAAUUUUUUCUUGGUUUGGAUGGUUAAGCUUCGAAAAAGAAGAAUUCCUUCAUACCCUUUGUUUUCUUUGUGAGACUAUCAAGCUUCCUAAACUUACAUCAAAAUAUGGCAUAUCACAAUUUUGCUUGAAAAAUGCAUGCCUUCUUUUUUGUACUGCAUCAAGUUCUUCAAAAUUGUACACGGAAGGAAUGAAACGAGUGGAGUUUUUAGUGAUUGAUGAAGCUGCUCAGCUUAAAGAAUGUGAAUCAGCUAUUCCUCUGCAAUUACAUGGCCUCAAACGUUGUAUUCUCAUUGGUGAUGAAAGACAACUUCCUGCAAUGGUCAAAAGCAAGAUUGCUGACAGGGCUGAAUUUGGAAGAAGCUUAUUUGAAAGACUAGUACUGUUGGGAUACAAGAAGCAUAUGCUUGAUGUUCAAUAUAGAAUGCAUCCAUCCAUAAGCAUGUUUCCAAGUAAAGAGUUCUAUGAUGGUCAACUUUCUGAUGCCAAUAUUGUAAGAGAAAUAAGCUAUAACAAACGUUUCCUUGAAGGAAAAAUGUAUGGUUCCUACUCUUUCAUUAACAUAUCUAAGGGUAAAGAGCAGUGUAAUCAUGAUCAUAGUUUGAAGAAUGUGAUUGAAGCUGCUGCUAUCUCUGAGAUUAUUGGAAGACUUAAAAAGGAGUUUGUAAGGGCAAGGAAUAAAGUCAGCAUAGGAAUCAUAUCUCCUUACAAGGCACAAGUUCAUGAAAUCCAAGAGAAAGUGAAGCAGUACAUGGUUUCGGAUCCUAACUUUUCUGUUAGUGUUCGUUCUGUUGAUGGUUUUCAAGGUGGCGAAGAAGACAUCAUAAUCAUAUCUACUGUUAGAUCAAAUCUGAGUGGAAAAGUUGGUUUUCUUUCCAAUAGACAAAGAGCAAAUGUUGCAAUCACUAGGGCUAGAUAUUGCCUUUGGAUUGUAGGAAAUGCUACAACCUUAGUUAAUAGUAAUUCUGUGUGGAGAAAGGUUGUUGUUGAUGCCAAGGAAAGAGAUUGUUUCCAUAAUACUGAUGAGGACAAGAAAUUGGAUCAAGUUAUUGAGGAUGCAUGCUUUGAAUUUGAACUACUAGAUGAAUCUGCAUCAGCAUUUAAUAAACUAAGCAUAAGGGACAUGUCAGAAACAUCUACUUUCUCUAGGAAACCAUUGAAAUUGUGGCGACGAUGAGCAAGUAAUAAUGGUUGAUGGAUUUACUACAGUUCGGGUUGUCAGCACCAUGGAAAAGUGAAGAGUGAAGAUUUUGAAGCACGACUAUGUAUGAAUGCAUUAAGAAAAUAGUACUUUAGAGAUUGUGAUGCAAUCAUCGAGGUGUGCGGUUUCCUUCUGGUUUUUGCUAGCCUUCUGUUGUGUUCAGGCGAGGCUGUUCUCUGCUGAUUCGGUUACUAUUCUAUUACUGAGUUCUUUGGGGUUGUUGGCGUGUUUUCGUGGGCUAGCAGUAGCUUUUUGGUGGUUUAUUCCUUUUGGGUUUAGGUUCCUCAUGUAUUCGGAACGGUUUUUGGGCUGGUGUUCCGCAUAUAUACGACACCUUGCAUUUGUUUUCUUUUUUACCAAGCUCCGUGCGUCUUACGCCG